rnacentral:rRNA from 1 species
UACAGAGGAUGCAAGCGUUAUCCGGAAUGAUUGGGCGUAAAGCGUCUGUAGGUGGCUUUUUAAGUCUGCCGUCAAAUCCCAGGGCUUAACCCUGGACAGGCGGUGGAAACUACCAAGCUGGAGUACGGUAGGGGCAGAGGGAAUUUCCGGUGGAGCGGUGAAAUGCGUAGAGAUCGGAAAGAACACCAACGGCGAAAGCACUCUACUGGGCCAAUACUGACACUGAGAGGCGAAAGCUAGGGGAGCGAAUGGG